AUUGAACGCUGGCGGCAUGCUUUACCCAUGCAAGUCGAACGGUAACAGGCCUUCGGGUGCUGACGAGUGGCGAACGGGUGAGUAAUGCAUCGGAACGUGCCCAGAGGUGGGGGAUAACGCAGCGAAAGCUGUGCUAAUACCGCAUGUGAUCUGAGGAUGAAAGCGGGGGACCAGGCAGCAAUGUUUGGCCUCGCGCCUUUGGAGCGGCCGAUGUCAGAUUAGGUAGUUGGUGGGGUAAAGGCCUACCAAGCCGACGAUCUGUAGCUGGUCUGAGAGGACGACCAGCCACACUGGGACUGAGACACGGCCCAGACUCCUACGGGAGGCAGCAGUGGGGAAUUUUGGACAAUGGGCGCAAGCCUGAUCCAGCAAUGCCGCGUGCGGGAAGAAGGCCUUCGGGUUGUAAACCGCUUUUGUACGGAACGAAAAGGCUCUGGCUAAUACCUGGGGCUGAUGACGGUACCGUAAGAAUAAGCACCGGCUAACUACGUG
rnacentral:rRNA from 1 species